GGGCCGGUCGUCUAGCAUGGUUAGGACGUCGCUCUGACACGGCGAAGGUCGGCGGUUCAACUCCGCCCCGGCCCACCA
rnacentral:tRNA from 2 species